rnacentral:lncRNA from 1 species
CCAAUUACAAUUUUUCUUUUAAGCAUUCCAACGCAAGGUCUUCCUUUCAAUCAACUCUCAUCCAAGUUAUGGAACUACUCGCUCAUUUGUGAAUGUAGAAUUCAUGACAUAGGAAAGGGAAAUAAAGAAAGACAUGAUAAAUAAUGAUAAAAAGACCAAUUAAAAAUAAAAAUAGUUCUUAUAUUAAUAAACUCUAAAAAUAAUCCAAUAGUAAUUCUGAAUAAACAAAGGACAUGGAAGAGUAAGAGACAGGUAAAGAAAACAAACUAGAAUGACGAAGUCUUGCUGAGGUAAUAACUCUUCUCAAUAUCCCAAUGCGAAAAGCAAUAAAAAUAAAAUCCUAAGAACUAUGAAUGUGUAGAGAGAAAACCUAGAGGAGGAGUUAAAACUAGAUCUAAAACUGAGAAUUGUCUGUAAUGAAUGUUGUUUUUUGUUUCUCCAUGUUCCUUGGCUCUAGUAUGCUUUUCUGGGCCAAAAAUUGGGUCAAAACAGGGCCCAAAAUUGCCCCCAGCGAAUUCUGCAGAUUCUGUAGAUCGCGCAUGUCACGCGAUCGCGUCAUUCAUGCGGACGCGUCAUUCGGCGUUUUGCCUUGCCACGCGUGCGCGUCGUCCACGCCUCCGCGUCACUUGUGCAGCUCCAAUCCACGCGGUCGCGUGAGCCAUGCGUCCGCGUCACUGCGAUUUCCUCUACGUCGUGCGGUCGCGUGAGCCAUGCGUCCACGUCACUUCUCGCUGGUCAUCUCUUCAAUUUCUUGUGUUCCUUCCAUUUUUGCAAGCUUCCUUUCCAAUCUCCAAGUCAUUCAUGCCCUAUAAAGCCUGAAACACUUAACACACAGAUCACGGCAUCUAAUGGAAUGAAGGAGAAUUAAAAUACAUAAUUAAAGGUCUUUAGAAAGCAAAUAUUCAAUCAUGUAAUAAUUUUAGGAAGGAAAUAUAAAUGCAUGCCAAUCAUAUGAAUAAGUGGAUAAAGAAUUGAUAAAACCAUACAAUUAAGCACAAUAUAAACCAUAAAAUAGUGGUUUAUCAAUGAGAUGGUGGUUUAGUUUUGGUUGGGAUAUUGGAAAAUUGAGAACUUUGUGAAUUUUGGUUAAAAUGGAUUUUUGGUGAACUUUGACGGAUCAUAACUUGAGCCUCAGUUUUCAAAUUUUGUUGAAAUUUUCUUUAAAUUAAAGUUCAUAGAAAAAUCUUUAAAUGGAUAUAAAGUUUGUAGGAAAUGGAUUUUUGUAGAGGAAGUUAAGAUCAUUCAAAGUUUGGUGUCAAAAUCUAAAUUCUGUGAAUGCUGCAGAAUUUGUGAUUUCUGGUUUGUGUGCGCAUGCACAGCCUUGUGCGCACGCACACACCGGGAUAUGGCUUCUGGUGAGAGCGCUAGCACGACCUGUGUGCACACGUAACCAACGAAGUUUUGCAAGCUGUGCGCACGCACACGUUAGAAAGUGCAUUUUGUUGAGGGCGUUCGCACGCCUUGUGCGAGCGAACAGAAUUGGAAAAUUUUAUACUUGCGCGUACGCACACCUCUAUGCGUACGCACACAUUUUGAAAAUCCUACUAGGCGUGCGCACAUGCCCUGUUUUUCAACUAAAUUCUUGUUUUUAACUGUUUCACCUUCCCAAUACGCUUGUAAAUUUCUGUGACACCUAUUUAAGACUCUUUGACUUAUUUUCGAGUAUCAAAACAUGGGAAAAGGUCCUAGGAGAUUUAAUUUAGUUAUACCUUGAAAAGUUAGAGAAUGAAGGCUUAGGUUUCUAGUGUACUAAGGAUGGGUUUGGUGGAGUGAGAAGGGAGAAAGAUAUAUGAAUUGAGAACUGAUGAACUAAUGAGUUCGGAAAGGAAAUUGUGAAUUGACAGUGGUUGAGAUGAGUCGAGAACUCGGAGUUUGAAAUGAUGAAUUAUUGAUAUAAUGAAAUAAUAAAUUUUUCAAAACCAUUGAUGUAACAUUUUUAAAUUGAGAUUGUUGAGACGCUAUGCGCCCGGCAGGGACGGCGGUUGGAUCCUGCCUGUCGAGGUAGCGGCGGCGGCGUAAGGGCAGUGGUUCGUCCCGCUUACGUUGAGAUGUGAGGUCCGUAGCAAGAGUAUCCCACUCGCAUCUCUUUGGAUCACUAGAGUGUGCAGGCACAAAAUCCUGGAUGGUGUUCCGAGCACUAUAUCUCGGGGGUUCCCAUUAUGAUUCUGAAGGGCGACAUCUCCAUGGAGAUGUGUCAGGUUGGCAGUUGAACCGACAAUGUGAUAUCACAGCCAGUAGGACAGGCAUUCAUCAUAUGCAUCUUCUAUCUGUUUGUAUUCUUUGUCGACUUGAAAUUGUUUGCCUAAUUGUAUAACAUGCCUAAUUGCCUAUUUGAAUUACUUGAUAUAUAUGCCUAUACUUGUGUUUUACUUGCAUUGUAAUUAAUUGUGUUUUCUACUGGAAUUGAGGAGGUUUGGAAGGCGGUGGCGAUGGGAUCGCAUGGAGGAUAGGUGGGUGAAGGCUGUGGGAUAGCGGAGAACAGUUAGAUUAGAAAAUCCCCUAAGAUAGAUUACCCCUUUUUAAUAUGUUAAGGUUUUAAGCUAUGCUUUACUGUUUUAAUUAUGCUUUAAGGUGAAUCUCGUGAUGGAUAUGAAGUUCUAGGAUUGCCUCUAGUGUCCCAGAGUCUUAUAUCUCACAUCACUGGGCACUGUUACCAUACUGAGAACCUCCGAUUCUCAUACCAUAUUCUGUUAUUGUUUUUCAGAUGCAGGUCGCAACCCACCUCGGUGAGUUGUUUCGAUGGUGAUAGAAUGGAGGAUCUUGGAUAUAUUUUGGAGUUUUUUUAUUAUUUUGUUUAUAUCUCUCACUUUUGUAUUUACUUUUACCUAGAGGCUUAUUUUGAGAGAGAAACUUGUAUAAGCUGUUUUUUAAACUUUCAUAUUUCUGUAUUAUCUGUAUAUAGCUAGCCGGCUUAAACUCCGCCAGUAUAUAUAUCUUGUGCGUUAAGUUUGUAGCAUCGUGUGUACGUUUUGUGCUUUUCAAAUCCUGUUUUUGAGCUGUAUCCUUCAUCGGGCUUCUAGAAUAUGUUAUUUCUUCUAUAUAUAAAUAUGUAUAAGCUUUAGAAUUGUCGUAACCUUUGAUUAACCUUUGCUUUACGACGCGAGGUAAGACUUAGACUAAUUAGGGUGUUACAGAAUCUGGGUUCCAAACUGUGUUUGUAGUUUUUGUAAUACUUUUUAAGAGAAUAAUUUUGGUAAAACUGCUACGAAUCUUUCUUUCCAAAAAGGUGCAUAUGCAUCAUCUCUUAUCAUAACUUUUGACAUAAAAACAUCUUUAUACCAUCUAUAAUCAGACAUGGUUGGACAUCUUAAAUUCAUUAAUUGAGUUUCUAUCCUAUCUUUGAAAGUACUUGGAUCUCCUACAAAGUUUUUAAUAAUGGUAUAUAUUAAUAUGGAUGUAGCAUCUUGUGACUGAUCUUCUUGUUUAAUGUUAUUAAUAAUUAAUUAUUUUUCUUGGAUACUGAGAAAAUUAUCCCACCAUCCUUUUAAUUGUCUUGUAAAUACUUAGGUUAACAUAAUUGCUGCCUCUUUAUCGAAAGCUUUUCUCAUCUUAUAAGCAGUUGCGGCCAUAGUCAUAUUACACAUUUGAUCUAAAAUGGCUUGUUCACUUAAUCCAUCUAUAUUCCAUUUUACUAAAUCUGAUUCAAAAAAAACUAUUUUGUACUAAUUGCGUUCUUUCUUCUAAGCCUACAUCUACUGGUGACGGUCUAGAAUAAUAAUUUCUUGUUUUAGGAUAAUCUUUUUUAUGAGACAUUUUAUUUAUUUCUAAUUCUCCUUCCUUUAUUAAUGUAUUAAUCGAUAUUUUUCCUAGAUUAAUACUUCUAAAUUUAUCUUUUAAUUCAUCAACUUCUACUUCUACUUUAGAUUUUAAACUAAUAUUAUCUAAGCUUUGUAGUUUAUAUAUAGGUUUUUCUUCUUUAAUUGUUUUUUCCAUAUUUUUCAUUCUUCUUAAUUGAUUUUUCACUAUAUCUAAUAACAUGUAUUAGUAAAGUUUAAUUGUUGAUGUAAUUUCUUAAUAUCUCUUUUUUCUAUGAUUUUAUGAGAAAAAAUAGAAUUAAUUUAUAUUUCUUUGAUUGGUACGUUAAUUAUUAUUCUAAAAACAAUAAAAAAUUAUGUCCGUUAACAAAACCAACUGUUAUAUGAAAAAUUAGUUUAAGAUCAAUAAUAAAAUCUGAAUAUCCUCUUAAAAAAAUUAUUAAAAUACCAGUUGGUAUUAUUAUUAUUAUUAUUAUUAUUAUUAUUAUUAUUUGAAAUUUAUCUUAUGCAUAUUAUUCAAUCAUUCCUCAUUGCUGAACCAAUCUUAGAGGUUAGAAGGCAAAGUAUUUGAUGGAACUCUGAUGGAGAGUUCCAUUUGAUGGAGUUCUUAAAAAUAUUUAUAGAUUUGUCCCAAUUUAUUUUUCUCUAUUUACUAAUGUGCAACAAUAUUUCUGAAAAUCAAUUUUAAACCCUAAUCCAAUUGAACCGUUUAAUUGGAACCCUUUAUGCAAUGUGACUGAAAUUAAUAAGGAAAAACGGCAUCAGUACCACCAACAGCUAUCGUCAGUGGCAACAAAGGUAAAGUUCUAAUAGGUUGAAUGUUAAAGUUCUAAGUGUUCUCUUGUUUCUCUGUCCUUUUUCUUCAUUCUCACUUGUCUGCGUCGUUUCUGGUGCGGUUGACAUGACGCUUCUUGGGACUAAUGGAAGCUGCACAGGCUUUGGCUUGCUUUGUGUUUAGCUUCUCCUCAUUGCAAUGCAAGCUCAAGGACCACGAUUUUUUUGGGUUUAAAUACAACAAAAUGACCAUGAAAGAUCCAUCAAAUAAAAAUAUAAAAUAAGAAUGACUAUUUCUAAAUCUCUUUCUCUGUAUUUUAUUUUGAAAUAAAAUAUAAAUUUUAGAUCUCGUAUUCUGACUAAGGACUAGCUAAGAACAAUUUCUGUGUCUUAUACUCCUCUACAACAUCAAAAUCAGCUUCAAAACAUAAAUUUUCAGUCACAGUUGAAACCAAAAACACUCAACCCAAAAAAAAAAAAAAAGAAAAAGGAAAAGUAGAUGGAAAUUGAAAGUGGUAAAUAUACAUAGAGCUUACCCAGUUUCAAGUUGAAAGGGGAGAGGACCAUCAAAACCAGGAAGGUAUUCAACUUUUGAACCACCUGCUUCAAUUUUAUGAGAUGCUAUCUGCAAGAAAAGUGUGAGAGAGAGAAGCAGUAAUUGAAAAAAGUAACUCCAUUUUUUGGAAUUGAAAAAAGUAACUCCAUUUUUUGGAAUUGGAAGCCAUUUUCAUUCACUGCUCUGUACUCUGCAGCCUCACAUGCAAUUCUUGAUCCCAAUUUCUAGGCAUUAGUAUUUACUAUUUAGCAUUG